rnacentral:rRNA from 1 species
UUCGCAAUGCCCGAAAGGGUGACGAUGCGACGCCGCGUGAGCGAAGAAGGCCCUAGGGUUGUAAAGCUCUGUCGAGGGUUAUGAAAUAUAGAUGGGUUAAUACCCCAUUUAUUUGACAAAAGCCCAAAAGGAAGCCACGGCUAACUCUGUGCCAGUAGCCGCGGUAAUACAGAGGUGGCGAGCGUUGUUCGGUAUUAUUGGGCGUAAAGAGCACGUAGGUGGUUUUGUAAGUCAGGUGUGAAAGCCUUCUGUUCAAAGGAAGAACGGCAUCUGAAACUGCAGAUCUUGAGUGUAGGAGGGGAGAGUGGAACUUCUGGUGGAGCGGUGAAAUGCGUAGAUAUCAGAAGGAACGUCGGCGGCGAAAGCGACUCUCUGGCCUAUUACUGACACUGAGUGUGCGAAAGUUAGGGGAGCAAACGGGAUUAGAUACCCCGGUAGUCCUAACCGUAAACGAUGGGCACUAAGUAGAGGGGUUUU